rnacentral:rRNA from 1 species
AGCGUACACGGUGGAUGCCCUGGCAGUCAGAGGCGAUGAAGGACGUGCUAAUCUGCGAAAAGCGCCGGCGAGGUGAUAUGAACCUUUGACCCGGCGAUGUCCGAAUGGGGAAACCCAGUGCAAUCCGUUGCACUAUCGUUAACUGAAUACAUAGGUUAACGAGGCGAACCGGGGGAACUGAAACAUCUAAGUACCCCGAGGAAAAGAAAUCAACCGAGAUUCCCCCAGUAGCGGCGAGCGAACGGGGAGCAGCCCGGAGUCUGAAUCAGCUUGUGUGUUAGUGGAACGGUCUGGAAAGUCCGACGGUACAGGGUGAUAGUCCCGUACACGAAAGCACACAUGCUGUGAACUCGAAGAGUAGGGCGGGACACGUGGUAUCCUGUCUGAAUAUGGGGGGACCAUCCUCCAAGGCUAAAUACUCCUGACUGACCGAUAGUGAACCAGUACCGUGAGGGAAAGGCGAAAAGAACCCCGGCGAGGGGAGUGAAAAAGAACCUGAAACCGUGUACGUACAAGCAGUGGGAGCCUCUUUAUGGGGUGACUGCGUACCUUUUGUAUAAUGGGUCAGCGACUUAUAUUCUGUAGCAAGGUUAACCGUAUAGGGGAGCCGAAGGGAAACCGAGUCUUAACUGGGCGUUAAGUUGCAGGGUAUAGACCCGAAACCCGGUGAUCUAGCCAUGGGCAGGUUGAAGGUUGGGUAACACUAACUGGAGGACCGAACCGACUAAUGUUGAAAAAUUAGCGGAUGACCUGUGGCUGGGGGUGAAAGGCCAAUCAAACCGGGAGAUAGCUGGUUCUCCCCGAAAGCUAUUUAGGUAGCGCCUCGUGAACUCAUCUUCGGGGGUAGAGCACUGUUUCGGCUAGGGGGCCAUCCCGGCUUACCAACCCGAUGCAAACUACGAAUACCGAAGAAUGUUAUCACGGGAGACACACGGCGGGUGCUAACGUCCGUCGUGAAGAGGGAAACAACCCAGACCGCCAGCUAAGGUCCCAAAGUCAUGGUUAAGUGGGAAACGAUGUGGGAAGGCACAGACAGCCAGGAUGUUGGCUUAGAAGCAGCCAUCAUUUAAAGAAAGCGUAAUAGCUCACUGGUCGAGUCGGCCUGCGCGGAAGAUGUAACGGGGCUAAACCAUGCACCGAAGCUGCGGCAGCGACNUGCUGGAGGUAUCAGAAGUGCGAAUGCUGACAUAAGUAACGAUAAAGCGGGUGAAAAGCCCGCUCGCCGGAAGACCAAGGGUUCCUGUCCAACGUUAAUCGGGGCAGGGUGAGUCGACCCCUAAGGCGAGGCCGAAAGGCGUAGUCGAUGGGAAACAGGUUAAUAUUCCUGUACUUGGUGUUACUGCGAAGGGGGGACGGAGAAGGCUAUGUCAGCCGGGCGACGGUUGUCCCGGUUUAAGCAUGUAGGCGGAGGUUCCAGGUAAAUCCGGUACCUUGUUAACGCUGAGGUGUGAUGACGAGGCACUACGGUGCUGAAGUGAUAAAUGCCCUGCUUCCAGGAAAAGCCUCUAAGCAUCAGGUAACACGAAAUCGUACCCCAAACCGACACAGGUGGUCAGGUAGAGAAUACCAAGGCGCUUGAGAGAACUCGGGUGAAGGAACUAGGCAAAAUGGUGCCGUAACUUCGGGAGAAGGCACGCUGAUAUGUAGGUGAAGUCCCUGCGGACGGAGCUGAAAUCAGUCGAAGAUACCAGCUGGCUGCAACUGUUUAUUAAAAACACAGCACUGUGCAAACACGAAAGUGGACGUAUACGGUGUGACGCCUGCCCGGUGCCGGAAGGUUAAUUGAUGGGGUUAGCGGCAACGCGAAGCUCUUGAUCGAAGCCCCGGUAAACGGCGGCCGUAACUAUAACGGUCCUAAGGUAGCGAAAUUCCUUGUCGGGUAAGUUCCGACCUGCACGAAUGGCGUAAUGAUGGCCAGGCUGUCUCCACCCGAGACUCAGUGAAAUUGAACUCGCUGUGAAGAUGCAGUGUACCCGCGGCAAGACGGAAAGACCCCGUGAACCUUUACUAUAGCUUGACACUGAACACUGGUCCUUGAUGUGUAGGAUAGGUGGGAGGCUUUGAAGCGUGGACGCCAGUCUGCGUGGAGCCAACCUUGAAAUACCACCCUUUAAUGGCUGGUGUUCUAACGUAGACCCGUAAUCCGGGUUGCGGACAGUGUCUGGUGGGUAGUUUGACUGGGGCGGUCUCCUCCCAAAGAGUAACGGAGGAGCACGAAGGUUGGCUAAUCCUGGUCGGACAUCAGGAGGUUAGUGCAAUGGCAUAAGCCAGCUUGACUGCGAGCGUGACGGCGCGAGCAGGUGCGAAAGCAGGUCAUAGUGAUCCGGUGGUUCUGAAUGGAAGGGCCAUCGCUCAACGGAUAAAAGGUACUCCGGGGAUAACAGGCUGAUACCGCCCAAGAGUUCAUAUCGACGGCGGUGUUUGGCACCUCGAUGUCGGCUCAUCACAUCCUGGGGCUGAAGUAGGUCCCAAGGGUAUGGCUGUUCGCCAUUUAAAGUGGUACGCGAGCUGGGUUUAGAACGUCGUGAGACAGUUCGGUCCCUAUCUGCCGUGGGCGCUGGAGAAUUGAGGGGGGCUGCUCCUAGUACGAGAGGACCGGAGUGGACGCAUCACUGGUGUUCGGGUUGUCAUGCCAAUGGCACUGCCCGGUAGCUAAAUGCGGAAGAGAUAAGUGCUGAAAGCAUCUAAGCACGAAACUUGCCCCGAGAUGAGUUCU